GAAAGUGAUACCAGUGACAAGUGCACCGAUUUUAUUGGAAUGUGGAUUUACAAAAAUUGAAUUCAAGUUCGGUCGUGGAGAGAAAACCAAUUAACAAAAUAACAGAUUAACCUGUAGUGUAGAGACGCCGCAGAGAAUACUGACAGCCAAAAUCGUGAAAGGCAAAUUUGGCGAGGAGGUGUUUUUGGAUUUGGGCGAGAAAGUGUAAUUUUUACCACACCGAGUAACGGAGGAGUAUUACCCCCAUUUGGAAGAAUUUUCAUCAGGAAAAUAUGCUGUCGUUUUUCAUUUGAAAUUUUACGAAAUUAAGAACAAUACAUCAAUGUGUGCAGUAUCAAUUCAGAGUCAUCUCAACAACUACAUCCAAAACUGUCUUAGCAACCUUUCCAGAACGAACUUCAAACCUCAGCAGCUUCCAGAAGCAUCUCAACAAUUUUCACAGAACGAGCUUCAAAUCUCUGCAGCUUCCAAAACCGACUGUCAUACCAAGAAUUUCAUUUGUGAACAAAGUAUCGGUGAGUCAUGUCAAUAAAUAAAAUCCAAAUGAUUGAUUUUUCAAAAAUCAAGUCGAUAAUUGAUAAAUACAUCUUACUCAUCAAAGACACUUAUUCAGAUUAUAUUGCCAAACAAGCUAUACAAUUUAUUAACAAACAUAAAAGGAAAUGCGUAUUAGCUAUGAAAAAAAUUAAAUUUUCGGUAGGGGGAAAAAAAAAUACACAAAUUGGGGAAUUUAAACGCUUUAGAGUGAUUAUCAAAAUAAUGAAUAAUAAACAUAUAGGCUCGGGUUUGAAGCGACGAAGCUCCAGGGUAAAGUGGAAAAUGUUAACAAUGUUUUCAAUAGUAGAGUAAUAACGGGGGUAAUCAUCAAUUUAACUCAUAAAGAUCCUAGAAAGUUUCUAGGCGAUGAUUUUUCAUUAUUCAAACGUGAUAUUUACAAAAUUUCAAAACAAAUGUCAUGCCUCAAAGUUAAUGUUACAUUUUCAGGGAAUUUUAUUAAAAAAUUGAAUGAUGGGGAUAUUGUUGAUCGUAAAUAUUUCAGUACGCCAAAUAAAGUUAUUGAUUCAGGUACGGACUGGACUGCUUGGUACAAUGAAAAUGCUGUAGAUGUUAUAUUGAAUAAAUUAGGCAAAUUUGAAGAACAGUAGGGGUGGGCUUUGAGUAAAACUAUUUUGUUGGAAGUAGCAAUAAAUAAAUAUGUAAUUCUCCAAUGGACUUAACAUCAUAUUUCCAAAUUCGAAAAACUUAAUAUUUCUGUAAAUGUUUACACGUUAGAAUUGAAUCAAUUGAAGGAAAAAUCAUUUUAUGUAGUAGUAGGUACCUGCUAGACUCACGACAAUGAAACGAGACAUGUUGAAUUUUUCAUUAAUUCAAGAGAAAUAUUGACUAAAAUUGAAUGAUUAUGAGGCUUCACCUAUUAAUGAUGACGAGAUUGAAAUUAAAUUUCAUUGUUUGUUUGAAAGUAGUUGACAAUGUUUCUUGGUGCAUUUUAUUAGU